rnacentral:rRNA from 1 species
AUUGAACGCUGGCGGCAGGCCUAACACAUGCAAGUCGAGCGGUAGCACAAGAGAGCUUGCUCUCCGGGUGACGAGCGGCGGACGGGUGAGUAAUGUCUGGGAAACUGCCUGAUGGAGGGGGAUAACUACUGGAAACGGUAGCUAAUACCGCAUAACGUCGCAAGACCAAAGAGGGGGACCUUCGGGCCUCUUGCCAUCAGAUGUGCCCAGAUGGGAUUAGCUAGUAGGUGGGGUAACGGCUCACCUAGGCGACGAUCCCUAGCUGGUCUGAGAGGAUGACCAGCCACACUGGAACUGAGACACGGUCCAGACUCCUACGGGAGGCAGCAGUGGGGAAUAUCGCACAAUGGGCGCAAGCCUGAUGCAGCCAUGCCGCGUGUAUGAAGAAGGCCUUCGGGUUGUAAAGUACUUUCAGCGGGGAGGAAGGCGAUAAGGUUAAUAACCUUGUCGAUUGACGUUACCCGCAGAAGAAGCACCGGCUAACUCCGUGCCAGCAGCCGCAGUAAAAC